AGUGAACGCUGGCGGUAGGCCUAACACAUGCAAGUCGAACGGCAGCACAGUAAGAGCUUGCUCUUACGGGUGGCGAGUGGCGGACGGGUGCGGAAUACAUCGGAAUCUACUUUUUCGUGGGGGAUAACGUAGGGAAACUUACGCUAAUACCGCAUACGACCUACGGGUGAAAGCAGGGGAUCUUCGGACCUUGCGCGAUUGAAUGCGCCGAUGUCGGAUUAGCUAGUUGGCGGGGUAAAGGCCCACCAAGGCGACGAUCCGUAGCUGGUCUGAGAGGAUGAUCAGCCACACUGGAACUGAGACACGGUCCAGACUCCUACGGGAGGCAGCAGUGGGGAGUAUUGGACAAUGGGCGCAAGCCUGAUCCAGCCAUACCGCGUGGGUGAAGAAGGCCUUCGGGUUUUAAAGCCCUUUUGUUGGGAAAGAAAAGCAGCAGGUUAAUACCCCGCUGUUCUGACGGUACCCAAAGAAUAAGCACCGGCUAACUUCGUG
rnacentral:rRNA from 1 species